rnacentral:tRNA from 2 species
UGGGGCAUCGUCCAGCGGCAGGACUCGGGUUUUUGGUGCCCGCUACGGGGGUUCGAAUCCCUCUGCCCCAGCCA